UCUCAAUGGAUGGAAAACAUCCAAUUUACCGUUAGCUGACCAAGAUAUUGAGUUUGGCCACAUUGUUAAUAUUUUAUAAAAAUAAUUACAUUAAUUAAAUUAAAAAACCCGAAAAAUGAAAAAAAAAAAAGGGAGGAAAAAACUAUAUCUUCUUCUUCCUCCUACCCGUCCCCAACUUACCCAGCCCUUCCCUAACUAAAAUCCGAUCUCAAUAGUUCCAGUUCUUUUCUUUUGCACUGUAAUGAAAUCCCAAAAAUCCUUGGCGGCAAACUUGUAGCAAAAGGAUUUCAACUUGAGAAACAAACCCUCGGAGUUAUCCACUUCAGGCUCUUCAUUCUAGUCCUCACCUUUACACACAGUAAGAUCCUCCGAUAAUACUCCAGAAAUUAAAGAUUUUGUUGCCUUUUCCAAUGAUUCAAAUGCCAUGGACAUCGACUUGGAGAUUGUGGACUCACAAUUAUCAAGGAUUCAAAGAUGUCUGAGUUUCCGAAUUCAAAGCAUGGAGCUUGGCUUUCAACGCAUCUGCUUGCUUCUGGAGGUCCUGUUCAAGGGAAGAUAAGUGAUUGGAGAGUUCCUUCCACAGGAGUGUGUAGCUGGUUAUGAGAGAGAUUUGGCACUGAAACGCAUCGACACUCUGUGACGGUGAAAAUGGUUCGGGAUCGGGCAAUGAACCUAUUGUAAGAGGAAAUUUGAGUUUAUUAUUGCACAGUUUGAGAAAAUGAAAACAAUUUGUGGCGGUUUUGGUUAGGGUAGGGAUGGGUCGGUUGGGGAAGGGAUGGGAGGAAGAAGAAGAUACAAUUUUUUUCCUUUUCUUUCUUUCUUUCCUUUUUUUUUUUUUUUAGGGUUUUUAAAAUUUAAUUAAUGUAAUUAUUUAAUUUGGUAAAUAGAAAGUUAUGAUUUUU
rnacentral:lncRNA from 1 species